UGGGGAAUUUUGGACAAUGGGGGAAACCCUGAUCCAGCCAUCCCGCGUGUGCGAUGAAGGCCUUCGGGUUGUAAAGCACUUUUGGCAGGAAAGAAACGUCGCGGGUUAAUACCCGCGAAACUGACGGUACCUGCAGAAUAAGCACCGGCUAACUACGUGCCAGCAGCCGCGGUAAUACGUAGGGUGCAAGCGUUAAUCGGAAUUACUGGGCGUAAAGCGUGCGCAGGCGGUUCGGAAAGAAAGAUGUGAAAUCCCAGAGCUUAACUUUGGAACUGCAUUUUUAACUACCGGGCUAGAGUGUGUCAGAGGGAGGUGGAAUUCCGCGUGUAGCAGUGAAAUGCGUAGAUAUGCGGAGGAACACCGAUGGCGAAGGCAGCCUCCUGGGAUAACACUGACGCUCAUGCACGAAAGCGUGGGGAGCAAACAGGAUUAGAUACCCUGGUAGUCCACGCCCUAAACGAUGUCAACUAGCUGUUGGGGGCCUUUCGGGCCUUGGUAGCGCAGCUAACGCGUGAAGUUGACCGCCUGGGGAGUACGGUCGCAAGAUUAAAAGCUUAAAUGAAUUGACGGGGUCAUAGCUGUUUCCU
rnacentral:rRNA from 1 species